rnacentral:tRNA from 1 species
CGGGGAGUAGCUCAGUUGGCUAGAGCGCCGCGUUUGGGACGCGGAGGUCGAAGGUUCAAGUCCUUUCUCCCCGA